ACUGACUGGGUACUGGUGAAGUUCCCCGCAGGAACUGAGUCAGACCCCAUCUCAGGGCCCUGCAGAAGAUAGGUGCCUGCUCUAAGGCGUGGACCCUCGCGACAGCCCUGGCCCGUCUUGACGGGCGAGGGUUACUGUACUUGUCCCAACCGUACAGAUGAGAAAGCUCAGACUCAGGGCCAGCAACCCCGGUCCCAGCGGAGCGCCCGGCACGCGCCGACACUUCAGCACCAGUCGCGGUGGCCACCACUGUGCGCGGAGAUGGCUGCGACGCGUGCGCAGAUCUCGAUCCCAAACUCCCUCCUGCCAGAAUCUGGACCCGAAUCCACCCAUUGCCCAUUUUCCGCUGCCGCUGGAGAGAAUCUCUGAGGUCCCCAGGACAGCCUGCCUGCACGGAAGAGAUGCCUCCUCAAUUAAAUGCUGUUUUCCAUGACCGUCUCUGUUCUUCCCAUACGCGAAUGGCAGGCAUCCAGAUCUCCAAGAAUAGAGGAUUAGGAGAGACUCCACCACCUAUGUCCUCACAGUUAAUUAUCGAUUUGUGUCACUUGCCCAUUUUCUCACUUCCUGUUUGUGUGUCAAGGAGUAUUAAUAAAUCUUUGCCUAUUUAAAGAUACUAGCCUUGGAUUUUCAAAUAUUGCAUAUUUUGACAUGUAAAAAUGUGUUAGUUUUAUUUUUUCAACCGAUCUGACCUGUAUAGUUGGGCUUGAGGAAGCUUCCUCAUUGUACAUGUUACUAUGGAUUUUUUAAUAUUAACACAGAGUUGUAUUUUUUCCAUAUAAAUUUCUAUUGAAUUUCUUUUUCCAUAUGAUAGGUGGUGAAGGUUUAGCCCAGUAAAGCAGAGAGGUUAAGAGGUUAGACUGGGGGCUCUGGAGCCAGACCUAUGUAGAUCUGAGUCCUGGCUCUGGCACUUGAAAGCCGUGUGACCUUGGUUAAGAUACUUAGCCCCUCUCUGCCAAAUGGAGAAAUAAGGGCACCUACCCCGUAGGGUAGUUGUGUGAGUACACAAGUUAAUACACUUCAAUCACUAGCAAGAAAGUGAAUGUCAAGCUGUAUUUGUUCAGGCAGCCAUAUGGUAGCCCCACCUCAUUAGUAAACUGAGGUAUUGAAGUAUCUUCUUUUUCUUUCAGAAAAUAUUUGUCAAGCACCUUCUGUGUUCUAAGAACUGUUCUAGAGCUUUGCAUGCUAUGGAGGUCUAGAAAUUCACAUUAUGGUGGCAGGUGACAGACAAUACAAAGAGAUAAAGCAAUUUCAUAUAGUGAUAACCUAGGGAGGCGUGCUAAAAGGAGCCAAGGUGUAGUGGUGACUGGAAGGUGACCAGGGAAACCACUGUAGGGUUUCUAACUGAUGAGAUCUGUGACAAAUCCCUGUGGUCAGCAGCAGGCAUUGGAUAUGUAACUUUAUUCUGUCCCAUUGAUCUUGUAGUCAACCCUGGUCUGUUCUGUAUUGUUUUAAUUACAUAAUCUUUGUAAUAAUCUUUAA
ensembl:lncRNA FAM88E family with sequence similarity 88 member E